AUUGAGCGCUGGCGGCAUGCUUUACACAUGCAAGUCGAACGGUAGAGGGGGCAACCCCUUGAGAGUGGCGAACGGGUGAGUAAUGCAUCGGAACGUGCCCAGUCGUGGGGGAUAACGCAGCGAAAGCUGUGCUAAUACCGCAUACGAUCUCUGGAUGAAAGCGGGGGACCGAAAGGCCUCGCGCGAUUGGAGCGGCCGAUGUCAGAUUAGGUAGUUGGUGGGGUAAAGGCUCACCAAGCCAACGAUCUGUAGCUGGUAUGAGAGGACGACCAGCCACACUGGGAAUGAGACACGGCCCAGACUCCUACGGGAGGCGGCAGUGGGGAAUUUUGGACAAUGGGCGCAAGCCUGAUCCAGCAAUGCCGCGGGCAGGAAGAAGGCCUUCGGGUUGUAAACUGCUUUUGUACGGAACGAAAAGGUCUGGGUUAAUACCCUGGGCACAUGACGGUACCGUAAGAAUAAGCACCGGCUAACUACGUGCCAGCCGCCGCCGUAA
rnacentral:rRNA from 1 species